rnacentral:rRNA from 1 species
CCUACGGGGUACUGCAGUGGGGAAUAUUGCACAAUGGGGGAAACCCUGAUGCAGCGACGCCGCGUGAGUGAAGAAGUAUUUCGGUACGUAAAGCUCUAUCAGCAGGGAAGAAAAAAAGUCCUUUGGACUUUGGACGGUACCUGACCAAGAAGCCCCGGCUAACUACGUGCCAGCAGCCGCGGUAAUACGUAGGGGGCAAGCGUUAUCCGGAUUUCCUGGGUGUAAAGGGAGCGUAGACGGCAGCGCAAGUCUGGAGUGAAAUGCCGGGGCCCAACCCCGGAACUGCUUUGGAAACUGUGCAGCUGGAGUGCAGGAGAGGUAAGCGGAAUUCCUAGUGUAGCGGUGAAAUGCUUAGAUAUCACGAAGAACUCCGAUUGCGAAGGCAGCUCACUGGACUGCAACUGACACUGAGGCUCGAAAGUGUGGGUAUCAAACAGGAUUAGAUACCGUC